rnacentral:rRNA from 1 species
AAUUCAGUGAAUCAUCGAAUCUUUGAACGCACAUUGCGCCCCUUGGUAUUCCUUGGGGCAUGCCUGUUCGAGCGUCA